GUUGCUUUUAUGUUCGUUUUGUUUUGUUUUGUUUUGUUUUGUUUUGUUUUGUUUUGUUUUGUUUUGUUUGAGACAGGGUCUCUCCAUGUAGUCCUGGCUGUCCUGAAACUUGCUAAGUAGACCAAACUGGUCUUGAACAUAUAGAGAUCUGCCUGAGUGCUGGGAUUAAAGAUGUGUACCAUCAUGCCCGGUCCUAGGUUGCUUUUCUUUUUAAAUAUAGAAAGAAAGAAGCUGAUUAGGAACGACCAAUGGUUGCCAAAUAUCUACUAUGUAACAAGUGUGCUAUGACCAUCUUCAAAAUGUGACUCCUGAAUAAAGACCAAGCUGUGUUCUUUCAUGGUCUGUGUGCUGCAAUCCUUCUGAGGAUGACAAAAUGGAAACAAGACUAGGAGAAAGCCAAGGAGUGACAUAGGCGUGGUCAGGAGAUGCUUUGACUACCCUGAAAACUCCCACCAGUAGCUGCCAAAUGAAAUGACUGUGCUGUGUCCUUCACCCUCUGAGGGCCUGGAUGGUGACAUUGCUUAGGUCCAUUCUGUCUGUAUUGUUGUGUUUAACCUUUAGUUGCCACUUUUAAGAUAUUUUCAAUGGGGCCUCUCAUAAUAAAGAGACUCUAAAUUAGGAGACUGUCUCAUGGGGGUGAUUUAGAUACACUAUUUCUUCUCACACAUUCAAGAUGCCUUAGCAAAGCAGGGACCCAUCAGUGAGAAGCUUCAGUUGGUCCUCACACCUUUUAAAGGCCUGGCUGGGCAACACAGACAGGAUUUCAAGAUGAUUAACAGUCAUCCUAGACCCACGUGGUUUCAUGGUCUAGGUAGGCCUCACUUCGGAGCAGGGGCCCUGAGCUCACGUCGCACAAAUCAUUUGUGUUCAUAGGGUAUACGAAUAGGGUGCUAGACACAGCUAUCUUAGGAUCUGUAUUUGUCACAUGUGUAAAGGGUCAGUUGUUUAAAAUCCCCAUGUAAGAAUGGUAACCAUGACUGUAGGGCUGCCCCUGUGCUAGUUUCUAUAACUAUUAGGGGUGAAGACGCUCAUCCCGGCACAUACCAUCAGGAACCAUGCUCAAAAAAGGAAAGCCAUCUACCCUUAAGGAACCUCUGGCUACUCAGAAGUGCUCUAUGACAUGAUCUGCUCAAUUGCAGUUCCAACGGCAUCUCUGCAGAACACCUGGUGGUGGUUUUUCAAACCCCACAGAAAAUGGAAUGGCUGUGUUCUUCAGUCUCAGGACUACCUGUUUGGAUGAGAAAAGGCGAAUCUCACAGUUCCAAAUUAAUAAAUGUGGAGCCAUUGGUGGUAGUGGGGGUGGGGGGCACAAAUAAAUACAAGGCUCCUUAGGAAUCACUCAUAAAAUGAAAUAAAGAUUCGUCGUCACUGUACAGAGCCACCUCACCCUCUUUGAUGGAGAGACUGGGAAAGUCCUUGAAGAGAAGGCCAUGACCACAGUUGUGUGGAAUUAGACGAAGCAUUCUUGGGAGAAGACAGAAAAGUUCACAAUGAGUAAUGGUAGAUGUAGGGGCUCAAAUGCAAAAAGAUUCUGCUUUAGUCAUUCGACAGAUUGGAGUCCAAAAUGUAACAGCCAAGUGUAAGGUGUGAGAGGUAUUGUUCUUAAGAGUAUAUCCCUCAAAAUAAAGGAGAGAAACAUCCUGUGUGUGCUGUCUUGCACUCAUUGGACAACACGUGGGAUCCUCUGCUCAGUUAGAGGCUCUAGACUGCAGCAGAGAUGACAACAAAAGGAUGCUUAGAGGAGAGUGGUGGGAGUAGGGAGUGUGCGCCUGGAGAGAUGUGCCCAGUGUGGGCAAAUGACUAUGGGAUGGUGACAGAGAAAAACUGUAGGCUUUGUGUAUUUGUUUUGGUUUGUUUUAGAUGAGAUAUUACUAUGUAGACCCAGCCAGCCUGGAAUUUGCUAUGUUGACCAGGCUGGCCUCUGCUUCCCGAGGGCUGGUUUGAAGCUGUUGUUUUGUUAUGUAUGACUGAUUCCAAAUGCUCCAAGAUCUGAUGGGUGGAGGUUGUAGGAAAACAGACUUGGAUUCAGCAUUAAAAUGCUGCUCUCUUUUGCCUUUCUAUAAAACCUUUAUUUACUUACUUGUUUAUUGCUCUUGUGAGAUGCAUUUUCUUUGCUUUUUUUAAGACAGGGUCUCAUGGAGCCUGGGCUGGCCUCAAAUUCACUGUGUAGCAGAAUAUGACUCCAAAUUCUGACCCUCCUGCUUCCAUCUCCUGAGUACUAGGACCACGGAUGUGCACCCCCAUGUGCAGAUGCGACAGUGCUGGCAAUGGACCCGAAAGCCUUAUGUGCGCUAGAUGAGCUCCAUUCCCACCGAGCUCCGUCUGCAGCCCUGCUCUUCCUUUCUUCUUUAUAAAGAAAAAUUGUAAUAAAAGUUUCAGCUUCU
rnacentral:lncRNA from 1 species